AGUAACUCAACCGGCCCUAGACGUGUCUGCAGGCAGUUCUCACCAUCGGCAUACGAAGGAUAGUUGAAAUGGUCUCUUAUCGUGUUCGUUAUCGGGUUUCGUCAUAAUCUACAGAAAAAUAUUCAAACCAAUACCAACAGAAUAGAGCUUGAACUAUAGUGAUUGCAGUGCAGCAAGACAGCUAGCUACACAGAGUAUAUUGAUGCUUCGUUCUUCGCAGUGAACAUGGAUUGCUGUCACAAUAGGUACGUUUCGAUGGCAUUAUCUUUAUGGAAUCGGUGGAUAACAAAUACGAACGUAUAGGUCUAGUUGCAUGAUGUGAUAUCUUCGAGAAUUACUUAUUUCAAGGUCCUGAACUCCUGAAGUAUAUAUAUUUUUCCAAAUCUGCCUACGAUGAAUUUUUUUGGAGCAUUCGAAGCAGCAUGUACUUACAUACAUACGUUGAGAACUCGACCAGCUGAAUUUGGAAUGAUCUCGUGAAUUCGGUGAGAACAGUAUCCUUCCAAAAAUGAUGGGAUAUGAACUCGCGUAUGAGAAUAUUUCAAAGUUCCAACUGCCACAUCCAAAGUUGCAUCGUCUGCCCAUAAGAAUUGUUUUUAACUUACGUAUUGUUCGUGGUCGUGUUCGCGUAGUAGUGUUCGGUUCUUCGAGUGUAUUGGACGAAUCGUAUUAAAAGUCUUUGACGAUUUUGUAGAUAUACCCUUUGUUCGUGUCAAGUUUCGAGCUCGGUUUAUUCAUCUUGUACAAUAUAGUAUCGAUUCGCAAUUGGUUUUCAUGUUCGAUUAUUCGUCGUUGUCGUAUCUGUCGGAGUCGCGAAAUUUCGUCUCUUUUAUUGGAUCCGAAUGCUGUUCUGUUCAACCGAGAUCCAGUUCCUGCUGUAUCUACUCAAUGCAUCUCUGUGAAACAAGGUAAUAAAUUUUCUAACUGAUUUAUUCUGGUGAAUGGGUAGAUUUAUUUAUAUGUAGCUUACCUAUAACAUAAACGUUGGAGAAGCAUCAGCUUUUUAAAAACAUAAUUAUAAUAAUUUAAACCAGGUUAUUCUAAACAAUCAUACACAUACACACAAGUUUAAUAAUCGCAAAUAAUGAAAUUCAAUUGUUCCGAAAUGUUUCGAUUGAGGACUCGAAGUCCACAAAAUCAAUCUCUUCAACCUUUUUUCGACUUCGUUCUUCGAGUGAGAAUUAAAAUCGGAUUCUGAGCUCCUCUAUUCGAUGUUUGGGAUAUUUUCAUGUACAAUAUUGGCCAAUUGCACUAGUCGCUGAUGUCUCGUAUACUCAUGCGAACCAUAUUGAUAAAGUUUUGACCACAGGACACAAAAAAAAACUUUAAAACUCGACACCAUCUGUCCGAAUGUCUCCUACAAAUUUCGAUGUCUAAACAUUGUGGCGCCAAUAAGGUUUCCUUUGGUGCCAUAGUGUAUUUUCAGAAAGUACCUAUAUAGAGUGGUGCCUUAAGGGGGUGUCCGGGGAAAGGUGAUACAAACUUCAAAUUUUGAUAUAACCGGGUACGAGUAAAAAAACAUAAAAGAUAAACGAGUUGCUUAUUAUAUUUUGAAAAUUGAUGGGGCCCCGUCAAUUUUCAAAAUAUAGGCAAGUUGUUUAUCUUACUUUGUACCACUACUCCUCGGACACCCUGUAUAACAAUGGAUUAUUGGCUCUUCACUCUGAAAUUCGAUGUUUAUAUCAGUAACAGUAGGUAAAAUAGCAUUUUAAAAACGUAAUACAACAUGUUUCGAACCGUGGUGGUAAUUUCUCUUUGUGAAUCUUAAGCUUCCGGUGUUUGUUCAGUAUGGACUUGCGAUGAAAAGCAAGUAGAUAAUUGCUUGAAUUUGUACCGAAAAAAAGUGCUAUAUUUACUAGACUACAACCAAGGCGUGUUUGACGUACUUAAUAAUUUAUGGCGUGGUAACUCCUAAUGAGAUUUGUGUUCCUUGCAAGGCAUAUAAUCGUUUAGAGAUGUAUUUUAUGUAGAGAUAAACGCCUUUUAUCAAGUUUUCAACGUCAUCUGGAAGAAAAAUACUGUUGCAUGUGAAGCGCAGAGAGUUAACGAAUGACAGAUGUAUUUGUAAUACAAGCAGGCGAGGUAUUUCAUUGCGAAAUAUUGUCACAACUCACAACGCUAAUAUUACAUCCCAUCAACACGUUUGCCUCGUCGCUGGUACAUGCAAUCAUAUUCUCUUUAUACGGUAUUUUCACUCCCCCCUCUCUCUCUAGAAUUGCCAGAUCCUUGUAACAGAAGUUACCGUUUCUUCAGCAAUACUUUUACUCGUAAAUCGCUGUGAAAGUUGUUAAAAAUGCAAAAUAUUGACCUUUUUUGGUGAUACGAUACGUUUCUUUUGUAAAAUUCCAAAUUUUCUCAAGAAAAUCUAAAGAUUGAUUUGGGCAGCUAAAAAUUGAGUUUUAGCUUACUCUGCCUUCUUCCAUACUCUCGAUCUGAUCAAAAGCUUUAUUUACGUAUGAGCCCACUUUCAGGCAGAGACCUCGAGGGCGUUUUUUGACCUCCAUAUUUUUAAUGAUCACUCACUGGAGAAUGUUAGUCGAAGAAACACCACCUUUGAAGUGUUUGCUCGGAAAAUGACCGAAAUUUUUAGCUGCACAGUUUGAUUUCCGCACCAUCUAGAGACAUCUGAAAUCGGGCAGGAGGUUUCAGAAUACCUAUUCAGAAUGGUAGAUCUCGGAUUCGGGAGGUUGGUUGUUGACUAAAUACAGCCAUUUGUGCCAAUUUUAAGAAUUACUUACUUAUACUCUACGUUUUGAGUUUUGCUCUAUGUGUAACAAUAUCACCUUUGAAGUGUUUGCUCGGAAAAUGACCGAAAUUUUUAGCUGCACAGUUUGAUUUCCACACCAUCUACUGACAUAUGAAAUCGAGCAGGAGGUUUCAGAAUACCUAUUCAGAAUGGUAGAUCUCGGAUUCGGGAGGUUGGUUGUUGACUAAAUACAGCCAUUUGUGCCAAUUUUAAGAAUUACUUACUUAUACUCUACGUUUUGAGUUUUGCUUUGUGUAAACGAAACUACUGUUCCUAAAUGUAGAUAUUUAAUAAAUUCAAAAGCGUAUUUACAUUAGACUUCAAAUAUAAUUACUCAGAAACAUGAUGAGAUUAAAACUAACUCAGUGUUGCUCGCAGCUGCACACUAAAAGUCGUGAAUACAACAUCUAUUUUUGUGAAAUGUGCGCGAUAAUGAAAGUAUAUGUAUGUGUUUAAUUGUGGAAUUUCCUUAGGCCAAGAUCACAAAUUUAUUCAAAUUGAUACAACUAUAUAAAAUUAUAUAUCCAGUUGUUGAGGAAUUAAUUCUAUCAGUUUUGAUCGGGUCGAAAUUUUGAUCAAAUCUGAUAGAAUUUGAAAACCUGAUAAUAUAUUUUAUCAAAUUUAGUAUUACUCGUAUAACUAUAACAAACUUCAUGUUUUUAAUUGAAAACUUACUUUGAAAAAUUGCCUCUUAUUUAAUCUACUUCUGGUAAGUGCAUUCCUUCGAUUUGAAGUUCACGAUUAUGAUAACGGUUAUUUCACCGAGUCGCCGAGUCAUACUUUUUUCAAAGUCUGUACGGAAACCGUUGCUCAUUUCUUUGCUUUUGCACGGUCUUCUGCGUACUGCAAGAUGCAUGGUUACUUUUCAAGCGAAAAAAGGCACUAAUUUUUCCCCCUUGAAGUAAUCGAUUUGAUGCUUCUAAAAAAAACAAAAUUUCAUGUUAUUAUUGUACUAUCAGUAAAGAAUUGUCAACAAUUCAUUUGCAAGUAUUUCAAUACACAGUUCAAUUCAGAACAACUAAAUACAUAUAAUACAGACUUAUAUUGUUUCUAUCUGGAACUUGCUUUUUUUUGGAAGCACUACAAUUUUUUUCUUUUUCAAUCCUCUGGUUCCUGGAAUCGAUCGAUGGCAUUUGCAAUAAGCCAUGUAAAAUAUAUUUUCGCUGAUGUCCACUCCUCGUUCUCUACAGCGAGCCACAGUUGAUCGAGAGAACAUCUUCGUUAUCGUACUUAUUUGUUCGGGCAAUUGCGGUAAGCCUCUCUGAUGCUUUCAAUCGAUUAGAAAAAGAUCAUUCGACGGGCUGUUCCAUCGUUAUCAAUGCCGCCUUUGCAGGUGCACACAUGAAUCAUAAAAGUCAUGUAAAACAUCGAUGGCAUCCUUUUCAUGUAGGUAAAUUGAAAACAUCAUAAUUGUGUAAAACGUGUUUUCUGGUGUUUUCACCCCUUCCCCCUCCCCAAAAAACACCAGUGUUCCAGGAUGCUGAAAGCUGCAUCACAGCAGGAGGGUGAUAAGAAAUCGUCAUAGUCGACACGUUUUCUUUACAGAAGAUGUUCUGCAUGUAAUCCAAUAUCAAUGGUGUCGCAAGGCUCUGCCAGACGAGGUGACUCAAAAGGUUUUUUCGCUGUGUUUGAAUCACCAAAGAGAAGCGGAAGAAUGAAGGGGAUUGCCAGAAAUACGAAGAUUGUAAAAGCACAGCAGUUCCACCUGCCACAUCCACAGUUGCAUCAUCCGCCCUUUAGAAUGAUUUUCAACUUACGUAUCGUUCGUGGUCGCGUUCGCGUAGUAGUGUUCGAUUCUUCGAGUGUGAUCUUGUAGUAUCGAUUCGCGAUUGCUUUUUAUGUUCGAUUGUUCGUCGUUGUCGUAUCUGUCGGAGUCACGAAUUUUCAUCUCUUUUAUUGGAUCGGAAUGCUGUUCAACCGAGAUCCAGUUGCUGUAUUCAAUUCAUCUCUGUAAAACAAGGUAAUAAAUUUCCAAACUGAUUUAUUCUGGUGAAUGGGUUGAUUAGUUACGUAUAUGUACCUUAUCUGUAAGAAGAAUGUUGAAAAAGCAUUUGCUUUUUUGAGAAAAAUAGAUAUUUUUUAAAAAAAUAGUAAUUGUAAAUCAGGUUAUUUUAAACAAUCCUAUAAGGUACGCACUCGAGUUUAAAAAACGCAAAUAAUGGAAUUCGAUAAUCCCAAAAAGUUUCGAUUGAGGACUCGGAAGUCCAGUCUAUAUAUUCACAUUUCAACAUAAUUAUACUAUGAUUUAUAUGUUUUUGAAAUUAAUGAUCGAAACCAUUUUUGCUUGCGAUCAUCUAACCGAUUUUUUUCGCAAACACUUAUUUCUUCGGACUCCUGCGUAAUGAAAGAAGAAGUCCUUGCAGGAAAAUGAAAAUGAAUGAUUGCAUGUGAUUACAAAUUCAUCUUACCGUGUCCGAAAAAUCAGGGAACUCGUAAUGCAACCAUCUGCUAGGCCAAGUGCACUAGCCGCUGACUUCUCGUACUCAACUCAUGCCAAUCAUAUUGAUAAUACACAACUCCACAUGUCCGAUUGUUUCCUACCAAUUUCGAUGUACUAAUACUAAACAUUCUGGCUCCAUGAGUUUUUUUUUUGUGCUAUAGCGUAUUUUUAGAAAGUAUAUAGUUUGAUGCCAUAAGGAACACAUGUAACUAUACUGGGCGUCCGUAUGUAUUUUCUUUUGCACUGAUAACAACUUUAUCAAUUUCGGUUUUCUUGGUAUUGGAUUUUGUGUGGAUAGCACCUUUGCAGACGAAGAGCUUUCACUUGUUAGCUAACCGUUCAUCAAUUGAACAUUUUCGUUUACAACGUGAUUUAGUAGGUGUAAAAUGCUCAGCAUUUUCAGGAGCUGGAAUUUUGAAAAAAAAAAAAAUAGAUGUAUUGAUCACAAAAUUCUCAUAACCAACACACAGAACAAUGAAAAAUAAAAUUGACUACAAACCUAUGACAUCGUACUCUCCUUCAAUCCACGGACCCUCGUCUAAAAUUAAAACAUUUUCAACCUCCCUGGUAAUAUUAUUUGUCUCGUUGAAAUCCAGUUUUAUAUUUUUAUCCGAACUAAAAGCACUUAAAGAGGUGAAAAAUAUUCAUCAAGUAAUGCCGUUUCUUCAGCUCAACUUGUAGAAAAGUGGAGUUAACGUUGAAUGGCUCGGGAGAUUUUUGGAGUUGAUGUUUUUUUUUGUUUUCCAUUUUAAGAGGUUUUAAUGUCGGAAUUUCUUACCUCAAGCUGAUCAAAUUCAUCCAAUGAAGUUGCAUAGUUGCUGUACAGAUCUUCAAGCUGAGUAGAUUUCAAUUUUCAUUCGCAGAGAUUGUUUUCGUUUUGCAAUUCAUUGCGCCUGGUUACGGAUGCGCAGUCAUCCACAAUGAAAUAAACACACUGCAGUCUAUGAAUUGCGUUAGUGGUGUUUGAAUCUCGUUUGAUUGUUUCUUCAUUUGCCAUCAACAACAGCUGUAUUUCCGUCUACUUGAUUUUUGCUGAAGCCUGACGGGUAUUUGGAGAAACCGAUCUGAAAGCAAAUGUUAGUAGAUUACCUUCAGGGUUAUAAUUGUUCGUCAUCUGCCAAUAAAGUUCGUAAGGGUUUCAUAUUUGUACAGGCAAGAAUUUUUACCAUUACAUCGAUGAUUGAGGAUUCUUGAAAAAAAAAUCGAAUUCUAUCAUUUCGUAA